rnacentral:rRNA from 1 species
GGAAUAUUGGUCAAUGGCCUAACGGCUGAACCAGCAACUUGCAGGAAUGAGAGUUAAUAUAAUAAGUUAUUAACUUGCUUGACUAGGUCUUAUAAAGUUCUGGAUAAAGCUUAUUAUGAAAACUUUAUAUCCAUAGGUCUCGACCAAAUCUUGUGCCAGCAGUCGCGGUAAGACAAGGGAGACGAGUGUUAUUCAUCUUUAACAGGUAUAUAGGGUACCUAGACGGUGUGCAAUGGCUUAAAUAAGUACCUGGUACACUUGAGUUUGAUAUGUGAGAGGAAUAUGUCGGAAUUGUUGGAGGAAAGAUGAAAUUUGUUAAUACCAAUAGGACUGAUAACGGCGAAGGCAAACCUCUAUGUACAUGUACUUGCUAUUUCUGUUUUUAUUAUAGCAAAAUAGCAAUGUACUAUAACUGACGUUGAGGGACGAAGGCUCAGAGAGUGAAGAGGAUUAGAUACCC